GGAGGAGGGAGGAAGCCCCUGGGAGGGAGCCAGGGUUCAGGGUUUCCAGGCACAGGCUGAACUCUGGUUCUGAGAGGAAAGGCACUCCAGGGUUUUGGAGUGGGCCACCUGAACUUGACCCUCAGGGCAGAUAUCCUAGAGUUCCAAGGAAGGCCCAGGCUGGGCCAAGAAGCCACCUCCAGAAUGCUGUUGUGGUGACACAGAGCACGCAGGGCUGCUCCUGGAGUUGGGAGAAAGAAGGCUAAGUUAGUGCUGGAUGACAAUGACCCACCAAAGACUGCUGCUGAAGGGUCCUUGCCUCCUAAGGAGACUGCCACCAUGCAGCCUCUGAAGUGGGAGAAGCUGAGAAGGUGAAGCCGCUAAUGAUGUAACUUGCAGAUCCCUGCUGGAUCAACUCAUUUCUCUGUGCAGAAGAUCAGCCACUGUUCAAGGAAUAUAGAGCCCCACUCAGGGCCAAGGAGAGGCUCCAGAAAAAUCACAAACACAAGAAUGUGUGUGAGGUACUGGAUAAAGCUGAGCAUGCUGUCCCAGGCAUGGGGCCUUCUCACCGGUUCUCUGAAGCCACCCCCUCCUUUAUGCCUUGAGGCUGCUUGCUGAUGCCAGGAGUAAAAGAAAUGACUCCUGCCCCUCUGUCUGUGUCUCUCUGUCUCUCUGUCUGUGUCCACCCUCCCCCCCCACCCCCCAAAUCUGUCUUCUCCUGGCAGCUGCAGAGAUUUAUAAUUUACCUGCCUUGUUGUUUCUCUCUUACACUCUAAUAAAACUCAAGCUUCCGUUUGAG
rnacentral:lncRNA from 1 species